rnacentral:rRNA from 1 species
GACGAACGCUGGCGGCGUGCUUAACACAUGCAAGUCGAACGGAAAGGCCCUGCUUUUGUGGGGUGCUCGAGUGGCGAACGGGUGAGUAACACGUGAGUAACCUGCCCUCGACUUUGGGAUAACUUCAGGAAACUGGGGCUAAUACCGGAUAGGAGCUCCUGCUGCAUGGUGGGGGUUGGAAAGUUUCGGCGGAUGGGGAUGGACUCGCGGCUUAUCAGCUUGUUGGUGGGGUAGUGGCUUACCAAGGCUUUGACGGGUAGCCGGCCUGAGAGGGUGACCGGCCACAUUGGGGCUGAUAUGCGGCCGAGCCUCCUACGGGAGGCAGCAGUGGGGAAUAAUGCACAAUGGGCGGAGGCCUGAUGAAGCAGCGCCGCGUGCGGGAUGACGGCCUUCGGGUUGUAGACCGCUUUCGCCUGUGACGAAGCGUGAGUGACGGUAAUGGGUAAAGAAGCACCGGCUAACUACGUG